UAAUAAGUGUUUUAUGGCACUUUUUAAAUCCAUAUCCACCUUGUGUGCAAUGUCAGUCGAUCUUCUUCAUGGAGAUCGACCAAACAUCAACCUUUAUCUUUUAACUCUUUGUCUGAAGAAUAUUAUGAAUAAACAAUUCAAAAUA
rnacentral:misc_RNA from 1 species